rnacentral:rRNA from 1 species
GACGAACGCUGGCGGCGUGCUUAACACAUGCAAGUCGAACGGAAAGGCCCUGCUUUUGUGGGGUGCUCGAGUGGCGAACGGGUGAGUAACACGUGAGUAACCUGCCCUUGACUUUGGGAUAACUUCAGGAAACAGGGGCUAAUACCGGAUAGGAGCUCCUGCUGCAUGGUGGGGGUUGGAAAGUUUCGGCGGUUGGGGAUGGACUCGCGGCUUAUCAGCUUGUUGGUGGGGUAGUGGCUUACCAAGGCUUUGACGGGUAGCCGGCCUGAGAGGGUGACCGGCCACAUUGGGACUGAGAUACGGCCAAGACUCCUUCGGGAGGCAGCAGUGGGGAAUAUUGCACAAUGGGCGGAAGCCUGAUGCAGCAACGCCGCGUGCGGGAUGACGGCCUUCGGGUUGUAAACCGCUUUCGCCUGUGACGAAGCGUGAGUGACGGUAAUGGGUAAAGAAGCACCGGCUAACUACGUG